rfam:Heterocephalus glaber contig186501, whole genome shotgun sequence.
UGCUUGCCCCUGAGGCAUGGCUCCGGGGCAGGUGUCUGUCCAGGGAGAAGCCCCAGUCUGGUGUGACACCUGGGAGAGCUGUGGGUGACACAGGCUCUUGCUCUUCCAGUUAGAGAGCAGCCCCCAGGGUCUGCUGGGACUGAGGGUCUCUUCCUUUCUGCCUGCCCAGCUCUGCAUCUGUGAAGGAGAAGGAAUAGGGGUUGGACUAGAUGCGAUUUCGUGCAUACUUUCUAGGUCCUGUAUUCUUAAUUUUACCUAGAGACAGAUGUCCUCACCCAGGAAAUUGUAUUUUGUG